rnacentral:rRNA from 1 species
GCUUGUCUCAAAGAUUAAGCCAUGCAUGUCUAAGUAUAAACGACUUUAUACUGUGAAACUACGAAUGGCUCAUUAUAUCAGUUAUAGUUUAUUUGAUGGUCCUUGCUACUUGGAUAACCGUAGUAAUUCUAGAGCUAAUACAUGCAUUAAACCCCGACUUCUGAAAGGGGUGUAUUUAUUAGAUGGAAAACAAUGCGGGGUUACCCGGAAUAUGGUGAUUCAUAAUAACUUUCGGAUAGAUUUAUCGAUGCAUCAUUCAAGUUUCUGCCCUAUCUGCUUUGGAUGGGAGGGUAUUGGCGUACCAUGGCUUUAACGGGUAACGGAGAAUUAGGGUUCGAUUCCGGAGAGGGAGCCUGAGAAAUGGCUACCACAUCCAAGGAAGGCAGCAGG